rnacentral:rRNA from 1 species
UACGGGGGGGGUAAGCGUUGUUCGGAAUUACUGGGCGUAAAGGGCGCGUAGGCGGCCAUCUAAGUCAGACGUGAAAUCCCCCGGCUUAACCUGGGAACUGCGUCUGAUACUGGAAGGCUUGAGUAUGGGAGAGGGAUGUAGAAUUCCAGGUGUAGCGGUGAAAUGCGUAGAUAUCUGGAGGAAUACCGGUGGCGAAGGCGGCAUCCUGGACCAUUACUGACGCUGAGGCGCGAAAGCUAGGGGAGCAAACGGG